GAAAUCUUCAAAGUAAAAUCUUUUUGUUAAUUCAAUUGGUUUUCUACUUUGGUAUUGGAGGUCUUUGCAGUUCACACCUGCUCCUCUUUGUAUAUUAGCUGGAUCUCAGUGUUAUGCUUGGUUCCACUCGGCGUGAUAAGUUAUCUAUCGCUGAGGACACCCGUAAAAAAGGUGGCCAAGGUAAAUGCAGAUGAACCGCUUCUAAUAGUCCAUUGACUUGGACAAUAAAAAUUAUUUUAUGAUCUGAUCUCAAAUCAGGUAGGACUACCCGCUGAACUUAA
rnacentral:misc_RNA from 1 species